AUUCUAGACAUACACACUAGAUAGAGGCAGUCCCCUGUAAUAUUAGUCGAUUGUAUUCAGACUUUGGCUUUGAGGCAGGACAAGUGGCCCCUGGACGCAAUCCACAACCUGGAGAGUCUCUGUAGAAGGGACGGUCUCGGUAACCUCCAUGCUUUUUGCGAGGGGUAAUUAGGCAAUGCAUGCGGGUUCUAGUACACAGCUGGGCUUAUGGGGUCUGGGAGCACAAUUGUGACUUUCUCAGCCAGGUCUGCUGAUUUUUAUGCUGUAGUCAUUACACGUUCCCUUGCUUGGGAAUAGGCUGAUGUAUUGAUAUGUCAAUAAAUAGCUCAGACAGCAGUUAUGUAGCUGUUUAG